AUCUGCCAAGACCACUCACCUCACCUUCUUGUGGGGCUCCCCGUCACCCUGCGCCGGCCUUUGCUGGGGCAGGGUGCGAAAGAGUGAGUGGCACCAGGAUGGAAACCCUUGUUGACGACCUCGGCGACUUCAGAAUCACAAUGGACAGAGAAACGAACCAAAAAAUCGUUUACAGUGCAGGGGAGGGAUACCACAGUACCGGCGCAGCCGCGGGUUGUAAAACGGGCCCCGAGUCGUCAUCGAGCAACCGUGACCGUCCGGGGGUGGGCCGCCAGGCCCCCGAACACGCUCAUGCGUCUGGCGAAGGGGACACACGAACUGGGGGGUCUCGGAGAGGGUUGGAGGAACUCGACGUUAUGACCGUCGGCCCGGGACCCUCACGGGAUGGGAUGCGGCGACGCCGCAAUCGCGGCGGGGCGGUGAGAUCCGACGACGAAAUGUCGUCAUGCUCUUCCUAUUCGACCGCUGCCGGGACGGUCAGCGUGGAGGUUUUAGUAGGUUGGAGUCCGGCAUUACCACGCCGCUUUUCCCCAGAAGCGACCUGGUGUCCGUGCGGAUUUCCUCCACGUUAAUAAUAAUAUUUAUAAAAAAAAGUUAUUUUUCACGUAGUUGACUCAUUGCUGAUCGAUCAAGAUGGAAUCUUAGGAUCCGAAUUUUUCGCAGGAUACAAGGCUCGUUUGGAUUACGAGCGAAAACAUAUAAGUGGGGAAAUAUUUAUAUCCCCUUCGAUACAAGAGAAAAGAUAAUCGUGCGGAAACGAAGUUCGGUACCAUUACAAAUGUUCGAUUAACAUUACAAAUCUGGAGAUAAAAGAGGGAUUUAUUCCCAAAAUCGAGCCAAUCAAGGGAGUCUAUUUUGGUAAUGUAGGUGCGAAGAACCAUAAGGGACAAGGAUAUACAAGAAUAAUAAAUACCACAUCGAAAGAUUACGAAUUUAUCACACCUACAAUAGUAAUUAAAGAAUUUGAGAACCUCGCCUCGCCGCCUGAAGUUCCGUCUUCUUGAUUAUCUCACCUUUUUUUGGACACACGGAGUCUGCUGAAGUUUCGUCUUCUUGAUUAUCUUGUUUACGCUAUUUUUAAUUUUCCACAUCCUUGAGACACGUAGAUGCUGCUGAAGUUUCGUCUUCUUAAUUUCUCAUGUUUCGUUUGGUGUUAGUGACAUACGAGGUUAUGUUGGAUCAUGGAUACUGAUAUGUCUGAAGCUGUAGAAUGUGAGAAGAAGAAAAAAAGUCGUAGGCCGUUCAAACCUCCUCCGAAACGUUCUAGGAAACGUGGUCGUCGUGGCGGCGCAAAAGCUCGUGGGCAGAGGUUAAGGAGGCUGGAGGGAUCGUCUUCCACAGAGGGUAGCAAUAGUGUGGCUCCAGCCCCAUCGUCGAGUCUCGGUGAUCCUUUUGGUUAUUGAUCUAACCUUCUCCGAUGAGGACAUCCUUCAGU